rnacentral:rRNA from 1 species
AGAGUUUGAUCCUGGCUCAGAUUGAACGCUGGCGGCAUGCCUUACACAUGCAAGUCGAACGGCAGCGCGGACUUCGGUCUGGCGGCGAGUGGCGAACGGGUGAGUAAUACAUCGGAACGUACCCUGUUGUGGGGGAUAACUAGUCGAAAGAUUAGCUAAUACCGCAUACGACCUGAGGGUGAAAGCGGGGGACCGCAAGGCCUCGCGCAGCAGGAGCGGCCGAUGUCUGAUUAGCUAGUUGGUGGGGUAAAGGCCCACCAAGGCGACGAUCAGUAGCUGGUCUGAGAGGACGAUCAGCCACACUGGGACUGAGACACGGCCCAGACUCCUACGGGAGGCAGCAGUGGGGAAUUUUGGACAAUGGGGGCAACCCUGAUCCAGCAAUGCCGCGUGUGUGAAGAAGGCCUUCGGGUUGUAAAGCACUUUUGUCCGGAAAGAAAACGCUCUGGUUAAUACCUGGGGUGGAUGACGGUACCGGAAGAAUAAGCACCGGCUAACUACGUGCCAGCAGCCGCGGUAAUACGUAGGGUGCGAGCGUUAAUCGGAAUUACUGGGCGUAAAGCGUGCGCAGGCGGUUUUGUAAGACAGGCGUGAAAUCCCCG